rnacentral:rRNA from 1 species
UUGGAGGGCAAGUCUGGUGCCAGCAGCCGCGGUAAUUCCAGCUCCAAUAGCGUAUAUUAAAGUUGUUGCAGUUAAAAAGCUCGUAGUUGAAUUUCGGAGUUUGUCGGUUGGUCGGGCUUCACUGUCCGCACUGGCCUGAUGGAUUCCUACCUUCUGAAUAACCAGCAUGCUAUUAAGUUAGUGCGUUGGGGAAGCAGAGCUAUUACCUUGGAAAAAUUAGAGUGCUUAAAGCAGGCUUAUGCUUGAAUAGAUUAGCAUGGAAUAAUAAAAUAGGACGUUUGAUUCUAUUUUGUUGGUUUCUAGGAUCGACGUAAUGAUUAAUAGGGAUAGUUGGGGGCAUUAGUAUUCAAUUGUCAGAGGUGAAAUUCUUGGAUUUAUUGAAGACUAACUACUGCGAAAGCAUUUGCCAAGGAUGUUUUCAUUAAUCAAGAACGAAAGUUAGGGGAUCGAAGACGAUCAGAUACCGUCGUAGUCUUAACCAUAAACUAUGCCGACUAGGGAUCGGAUGAUGUUAAUUUUUUAAUGACUCGUUCGGCGCCUUACGGGAAAC